rnacentral:rRNA from 1 species
CUAAGUAUAAACUGUUUAUACAAGUGAACUGCGAAUGGCUCAUUAAAUCAGUUAAAAUUUAUUUGAUAGUACCCAAUUACUACUUGGAUAACCGUGGUAAUUCUAGAGCUAAUACAUGCCUUGAAAGUCCUGACCUUUACCGGAAGGGAUGCAGUUAUUAGAUACAAAACCAAUUUAGAGCAAUCUAAUUCUUUGGUGAUUCAUAAUAAUCUUGCAAAUCGCAUUUGGCUUUAAUGCCGGCGAUGGGUCAUUCAAUUUUCUGCCCUAUCAACUUUUGACGGUAGGAUAGAGGCCUACCGUGGUGAUAACGGGUAACGGGGAAUUAGGGUUCGAUUCCGGAGAGGGAGCCUGAGAAACGGCUACCACAUCCAAGGAAGGCAGCAGGCGCGCAAAUUACCCAAUCCUGAUACAGGGAGGUAGUGACAAUAAAUAACGAUGCGGAACCUUUAUGGUUUUCGCAAUUGGAAUGAGUACAAUUUAAACCCCUUAACGAGGAACAAUUGGAGGGCAAGUCUGGUGCCAGCAGCCGCGGUAAUUCCAGCUCCAAGAGCGUAUAUUAAUACUGCUGCAGUUAAAAAGCUCGUAGUUGAAUUUCAAGGACCUUUUUUGCGCGAGGCCGCUAUCUUAUUUAUAAGUAGCGCGUUUUUUUCCGAGCGCGGGUCUUUUUUUACUUGUUGAGCGCCCUUGGUUGCAUGCAAAUGUGAUCAAGUGUUUUGUGCUCAACACUUUUACUUUGAAAAAAUUAGAGUGUUCAAAGCAGGCUUUUUUAAGCCUGAAUAUCUUAGCAUGGAAUAAUAAAAUAGGACUUUGGUUCUAUUUUGUUGGUUUCUAGGACUAGAGUAAUGAUUAAUAGGGAUAGUUGGGGGCAUUAGUAUUUAAUUGUCAGAGGUGAAAUUCUUGGAUUUAGGAAAGACUAACUUCUGCGAAAGCAUUUGCCAAGGAUGUUUUCAUUAAUCAAGAACGAAAGUUAAGGGAUCGAAGAUGAUUAGAUACCAUCGUAGUCUUAACCAUAAACGAUGCCGACCAGGGAUCGGUCGCUUGUAGUUUUUUUAAAAAGACACGUCCGGCACCUUUUGAGAAAUCAAAGUCUUUGGGUCUGGGGG